GUGCUUGCUUCGGCAGCACAUGUACUAACAUUGGAAUGAUACAGAGAAGAUUAAUAUGGUCCCUGUGCAAGGAUGACACACAAAUUUGUGAAGCGUUCCAUAUUUUU